GAUGAAGAACGCAGCAAAAUGCGAUAAGUAAUGUGAAUUGCAGAAUUCAGUGAAUCAUCGAAUCUUUGAACGCACAUUGCGCCCGCCAGUAUUCUGGCGGGCAUGCCUGUUCGAGCGUCAUUUCAACCCUCAAGCACAGCUUGGUGUUGGGACUCGCGUUAAUUCGCGUUCCUCAAAUUGAUUGGCGGUCACGUCGAGCUUCCAUAGCGUAGUAGUAAAACCCUCGUUACUGGUAAUCGUCGCGGCCACGCCGUUAAACCCCAACUCCUGAAUGUUGACCUCGGAUCAGGUAGGAAUACCCGCUGAACUUAAGCAUAUCAAUAAGCGGAGGA
rnacentral:misc_RNA from 1 species